GCAUCAUUGUCAAGAACUGUGAUUUGCAUAUGUAAUGAUCUAUAUGCACCUGCCCUGAGGCCUUUGCGUCAGGUAGCAAAGGUUCACAUUUUUGUUCAACCGACAGUGAGUCGUGUGGUAAGCAGGUAAUGACUUGCUAAAAACCAUUACUGUGCCACUGUCAAGUACUUUCAAGUUUAUCAUGGUGCCUUCCUGUUGAAUGACAAUUAUUUAUUUAGUUGGGUUUAGCUUGUGACUCGAUCUUGGCCAUGGUAUCAUCAGAACUCAAUAUUGAUGACACUGCUUCAUUGAUUUGCUGAGUUAUGAAAUAGUGGUAAAAAUGCAAAAAAAAAAAAAAAAAAAAAACUAAAACUGGUUAAGACUUGGUAAAAGGAUCAAGCUACACAUUGUAAUAUUGAUCUUUAAUUAGUUGAAGAAUAGAGUUUCACGGGAAUAACUUUCUUUCACUGAGAUUUUUCUUUUAUAGAGUUUACAGCAUAUACAAAUCCUUCAAAUUAGGAAACUAAAUCACUGA